UUCAGUUCCCCACAGGGAACUUAGCUGCAUAACUGACACAGUCAUGUCUCAACCCCCCACACCACCCCUACCUGAGGACAUCACACACAAGUUGCUUACAGAAGUUUCAUAGGUCAUCCAUUGAAAUAUAUAAGCUUGCUAAUAUAUACAAAUAAUUUAAUUUAUCAUGCACAACCUGCUAAACAGAAAGAGAAAAGGUCCUCCAGGAUGGACUGAUUUAUAACACAGAAGCGGUGGGUGUACGAAUGACUGAACCUUUGCUGAGCCUGCUGUUUCCCCACGGUGGACUGUCCCCUCGCCCUGACACCACUUUCCUUCGCUGUGGGGUUCCAAACAUACGUUUGCUCUCCAGAUUCGUUAUGAAUACCCGCAAAAUCCCAGGAGUUUUCGUUCAGGGAUAGUCACAGCGAACCGACUGAAAGUAAUUGACAUGACCCAUAUUCCCUGAUGAGCUAGUCAGAGACGGAGAAUGGAGAAGGUGUUGUUAUGGCUCCUUAAAUCUAACCAGAGAGCCUGUAAGGAUAGCAUGAACAUUUAACCAAGGACAGCAUAAGUGAAAUUACUGCCGUACAUGUCUAUAAAAUAAUGUAUGGAUGUAUUUUAAUAUGUGUUUCUAUUGGAUUCAUUUGUUCCGGCUUUGUUUAUUUUCUUGAUGCUCUUGAGUGGAGCAAUAAAAAAGAUGAAAGGCAAUAUGAGCCUGGAGAGAAGGAGGUAGAAUAAUAAAGCUGCAGUUAUUAA